CACGUAGGGGGCAAGCGUUGUCCGGAUUUAUUGGGCGUAAAGAGCUCGUAGGCGGUUCGGUAAGUCGGGUGUGAAACCUCCAGGCUCAACCUGGAGAGGCCACCUGAUACUGCUGUGACUCGAGUCCGGUAGGGGAGCGUGGAAUUCCUGGUGUAACGGUGAAAUGCGCAGAUAUCAGGAGGAACACCAGCGGCGAAGGCGGCGCUCUGGGCCGGAACUGACGCUGAGGAGCGAAAGCGUGGGUAGCAAACAGG
rnacentral:rRNA from 1 species